rnacentral:rRNA from 1 species
CCUACGGGUGGCAGCAGUGAGGAAUAUUGGUCAAUGGGCUUACGCCUGAACCAGCCAAGUCGCGUGAGGGAAGACUGCCCUAUGGGUUGUAAACCUCUUUUGUCAGGGAGCACUUGGCGCUACGUGUAGCGUUAUCGAUAGUACCUGAAGAAAAAGCAUCGGCUAACUCCGUGCCAGCAGCCGCGGUAAGACGGAGGAUGCGAGCGUUAUCCGGAUUUAUUGGGUUUAAAGGGUGCGUUGGGGGAAUGCAACGUCAGCGGUAAAAUCGCGGGGCUAAACCUCGCUCUGCCGUUGAAACUGGCGUUCUUGAGUGGGCGAGAGGUAUGCGGAAUGCGUGGUGUAGCGGUGAAAUGCAUAGAUAUCACGAAGAACUCCGAUUGCGAAGGCAGCAUACCGGCGCCCAACUGACGCUGAAGCACGAAAGCGUGGGUAUCGAACAGGAUUAGAUACACGUGUAGUC